rnacentral:sRNA from 1 species
AUAUAACGGUUACCAAACAAGGGAAAGAAGACACAUACAGUUCGUGCAAA